rnacentral:misc_RNA from 1 species
GGACAGACUCGAGUCAAAAGGGGGAACAAUAGCAGCUGAAGCACCUGAUAAAAAAGGCCUGGUUCAACCUUGACGAUGGACAUCUAUUUUGCAUGGGGACCACUGGAAUACCUGACGAGAUUUUACCCUCAACUCUCAUCCCAGGAACGGUUGAGGGCUACAGGACUGACACUGAAAACCAGGCUUGACAGGGCGGAACUCAUUGAAACUUUUGGAACACUGAACAGUUUGGAGGAUGUUGAUCCAGAUAACUUCUUUAAAAGAUCAGAUAUAACGCAAACAAGGAACAACGGUUUCAAGCUCAACAUGUCAAGAGUUAAGGGGGAGGCAUGAUCACCGCCUAUACAAUUCUUAGAAGAUUUGACAGGAAUUGCUUAUUAUGUGAGUGAUGUCUAGCCAGCAAAAGAGAAGUAUAUUUGAUGAUUCAGAUGAAGAUGGGCCAUGCAAUGAGGAAGAAACAACAAAAUCUCUUGAACAGAAAGUCAGCAGCUCCAUCAAGAAUCAUUCCAAGAAGACAAAAGUGAAGGUUCAUAAGGAAAUUGCUGCUAAGAUAAAAGAACACACAAAUGAAGAGUAUCAUGCUAUUGAAGAAAAUGAACCACUCGAAGCAGAAAAAAUAGGCAAGGAUGCAGCAGGGGAGAGAACACCUGAAAAACUGGUAUUGACUCCAGCACAGCGUGCCCUAAUGGAGCAAAAGAGACAACAGGCACUUUUAUUAAAAAGAGAUAAGAUAAACAGAAGAAAUCCUUAUGUUAAUAAUGAUGAGAAGAAGGAUACAACAAAAGUAGUGCGAAUUAACAAUACAAAAUUGAUUGAUUCUGGAGGUGGCUUUUUCAUUGAGGAAAAUGAAGAUGAUCUCAGUGAUGACAUGCUGGCAGCAAUGAAGGUGGUGACAGAGCCUGCACCCUUGUUUGAGGAGGACCGACCCCACUGCCUGGAAUGUGAUCAACAGUUCAAUAAUUCUUUCCUCUUUCAAAACUUUGAUCACCCAACAUGUGAUCAAUGCAGAGAUACAGAUGACAAACAUUGUCUGAUUACUAAGACUGAUGCCAAAAAUGAAUAUUUGCUGAAGGAUGUCGACUUUGAUCAGCGAAAGCCACCUUUGAAAUUUAUUGUGAGAAAAAAUCCCCACAAUUCAAGAUGGGGUGACAUGAAGCUGUAUCUAAAACUUCAGGUCGAAAAAAGAGCUCUAGAGGUAUGGGAAUCUGAGGAAGCAUUAGAAGAAGCCUUAGAAAAGAAGGAUAAGCAACGCGAAUCAAAUAAGCAAAAGAAGUAUAAUAAAAAGAUGAAAGAACUGAGGAUGAGUGUAAGAAGCAGCUUAUACACUCGUGCCUCAAAAACUCACGAACAUGAAUAUGGUGAAGAAGUUUAUCUUUCUGAUGAAGAUGAGUAUUCCCGCACGUGCACUACCUGUGGGCACUCAUACACACAUGGUCCCUGCAUCUGCUGCUCAUCUCCUCACCGGUCAGCACAAAGAUUCAGAAUUCCACCACUGGCUGAGACAAGUCUGCAAAACACAGAUGGUGGUUAAGACUUUAAUGCCUGUUGUCAGAUAUAUCACAAAGGAUGCUUAACCACACACCUGGCAAUUUAUUUUGCAGAUAUAAUACAGUACAGAAGGACAUUGCUGUUCUGGAGAAAGCACAACACCAGGCAAAGAAAAUCAUUGCAGAAUGAAGUCAACUCCUAUAUCAGGAACAGCUGAGGGCAACAGGGCUAACAACACUGCAAACCAAGCAUGAUAGGAUGGAUCUCAUUAAGACAUUUAAAAUACUGAACAAUUUAGAGGAUGUUGAUUCAAACAAUUUCUUCGAAAGAUCAGAUGUAGCACAAACAAGGAGCAUUGGUUUCCAGCUUAACAAGCCACAAUGUAGGCCUGAGAACAGGAGAUGUUUUUUCACCCACAGGAUUAUAAAUCCAUGGAACAACCUACCUGCCAUAUCUGUAAAUGCAAAAACACUUAAAUUUUAAAAUCGAGCUGGAAAAAUCAUCAGGGCAAAUGAUCUUUGACAAGCUGCCAGCUUCCUGUCUUCAUCGAGGCCUCUGGAGUGUUAAUGGCCCUUGGAGCAAAUUCAGAACAUCUUGACAAAAAGAAGUCUACUCACGUGCUGGAAACUUUGAUAUGUUCUGAGCAACUCUGAUAAGCAUCCUUGCAGCUUUAAGGUGGUCGCCACGUUUCACAUGCAAUCUGGCUAAUGUAUAGGAAUGAA